rnacentral:rRNA from 1 species
CCUACGGGAGGCAGCAGUGAGGAAUAUUGGUCAAUGGGCGCGAGCCUGAACCAGCCAAGUCGCGUGAGGGAUGAAGGUCCUAUGGAUCGUAAACCUCUUUUAUAAGGAAGUAAGGUGUGGGUCGUGUUCAGUUUUGUAUGUACCUUAUGAGUAAGGAUCGGCUAACUCCGUUCCAGCAGCCGCGGUAAUACGGCGGAUCAGAGCGUUAUCCGGAUUGAUUGGGUUUAAAGGGUGCGUAGGCGGCAUUUUAAGUCAGCGGUGAAAGUCUGUGGCUCAACCGUACAAUUGCCGUUGAAACUGGGAGGCUGGAGUAUGUGUGAGGAAGGCGGAAUGCGUGGUGUAGCGGUGAAAUGCUUAGAUAUCACGCAGAACCACGAUUGCGAAGGCAGCUUGCCAAGCCAUGACUGACGCUGAUGCACGAAAGCGUGGGUAUCAAACAGGAUUAGAUACCCUAGUAGUC